CCUAGUGCCUCACAUAUGCUAGGUUUGUUUCCCUGCCUGACAGCUGCAGAGAUCUCUCACAUGUGGAUUCUAUAAGAAGACCAGGAUGUAGGGAAGAACUUUCAGAGACUGCUCUUCCAGAAGACCCC